UUAAAUACCGUGAUGAAAAUUUUGAAUAUGAUUACAACUCCUUGCGCAAGUGGGGCCUAAUAGCAGCUGCCAUCCUCUUCAUCCUGGGCAUUCUGAUUCUCACCUGUGGAAAACACGGGAAACUCCUACGAUGCCGAAGGAAAAAGCGAGCCAG